UCUAAAUGUUGAGGAUUCAGCAGUGAACACAUCAAGUAAGAAUUCCUGUCUUUUUGGAGCUUAACUUCAGCUGAGGGAAAGGGGAACAGCAACAAAUAAAUAGUUACACAGCGUGUUAGAUGAUAACUGCUGUGGUAACAGGUUUAAACCAUGGAGGAGGAGGAUUCCAAGCAGGGAACAGCUUGAGCUAAGGCCCUGAGGCAGGACUACACCUGUCCUGUUCCAAGAACAGCAAGGAAGCCAGUGAGCAAUGAAUGAGGAGCAAUGGGCUUCUCAACAGAAAUGCCGGCAUCUCAAAUUCUGAGGGAAGUCAUUUCCAGCCUGAAUUUUACACCCAGGCAAUUUUACACCCAGGGAGAUACAGUCAAGCGCUUCAGAACGUCAUUCCCGGAAGUGGUCCAGAGGAGAAGGUAAAUGUUAGGGUUAGGAAAAAGGAGUCCACUAAGACAUAAACCUUUUAGAAGUUAAAGAUCUCUGCAGUGAACACAAAAGGACACAGUCUUCAGCAAAGAGGGACAGGGAAUGACAGGCCGGGGGAGGCUGUUAGGCAGUUUCUCAAGUCUCCUCGUGGGAAGCUGGUUGCCCUGUGUGUUCCCUAGGGUUAUCUUCCUGUACUGCUCCUUGGUGCUGAGAGUGAUGAAAUGGAUGGAACACGAUGUGUUUGCACAUACUGGAAGGAAAGUUGCAUUUAUGACAAGAGGUUUGGGAAUGCAGCAGUGCUAAACACCUAGAAACCAAAGUAAAUUAUGUUUAAAAGAGCCAAAAGUAAAAAGUUAUGAGAAAGGAAAUGGAAUCAUAUUGCAUUAUAUGGCUUGGUUGAGAUCGGUGUCUACAUAGUCAUAAUAAUGUAGAUACUAAGUAUUAAUCUAACCUCAGAUAGUAACAUAAACCAUGUUGGGAGGAAGGGGAAUUGUGUAUAUAGUGUUUGUGUGUGUGAUGGGAGUGUUGAAGAAAUACAUCAAUAGCCAAUGCCUAAGACUGAAAAUAGGAGGAGAGCAGUGUUGGAGGAGUGCUUUCCAUGGGCAGGAAAACACCAAAAAUACCAACUGAAUUGGAACUGCUCACUUAUUGGGAGUUGGAAAGGAGGAGAUGUGGGGAACUGCAGGUUUUUGUAAAAAAAAAAAAAAAGUUCUAGAAAUAUUUGGCUUCUUCAACUAUGUCCAAAUAAAACUUUAAUUAAAAAAAUA